GCCUGGCUGGCUCCAUUGGUAAAGCAUGUGACUCUUGAUCUCGGGGUUGUGGGUUCAAGCCCCAUGUUGGGUG
rfam:Ailuropoda melanoleuca scaffold1318_102, whole genome shotgun sequence.